GACGAACGCUGGCGGCGUGCUUAACACAUGCAAGUCGUACGGUAGGGCCCUUUCGGGGGUACACGAGUGGCGAACGGGUGAGUAACACGUGAGUAACCUGCCCACAACUUUGGGAUAACGCUAGGAAACUGGUGCUAAUACUGGAUAUGUGCUCCUGCUGCAUGGUGGGGGUUGGAAAGCUCCGGCGGUUGUGGAUGGACUCGCGGCCUAUCAGCUUGUUGGUGGGGUAGUGGCCUACCAAGGCGGCGACGGGUAGCCGGCCUGAGAGGGUGACCGGCCACAUUGGGACUGAGAUACGGCCCAGACUCCUACGGGAGGCAGCAGUGGGGAAUAUUGCACAAUGGGCGCAAGCCUGAUGCAGCAACGCCGCGUGCGGGAUGACGGCCUUCGGGUUGGAAACCGCUUUCAGCAGGGACGAAGCUUUUUGUGACGGUACCUGCAGAAGAAGCACCGGCUAACUACGUG
rnacentral:rRNA from 1 species